AUAACAAGAAGCAAGAAAGAGCUCGUGGAUCAAACGCUGAAAAUUCCUCCACAAGUUUCGAGCUUCAAGUUCAAGAAAUUAAGUUCAAGCUCAAGAAUGAAGAAGAAUCAAGUUCAAGCUCAAGAACGAAGAACAAAUCAAGGUCAAGUUCAAGCAAUCAAGCUCAAGCUCAAGCUCAAGAAUAAGAUCAUCGUUCGUGGCAACAAAUAUAGAUUCAAGAUUAAGCUCAAAGGCCCUUGAAUUUAUUUACCAUUGGAAAGAAGAAUAAGAUGAUUCAUAGAG
rnacentral:lncRNA from 1 species